UACGAAGGGAGCUAGCGUUGUUCGGAAUUACUGGGCGUAAAGGGCGCGUAGGCGGUACUAUAAGUUAGAUGUGAAAGCCCCGGGCUUAACCUGGGAACUGCAUUUAAGACUGUAGAACUAGAGGACGAGAGAGGAAAGUGGAAUUGUGAGUGUAGAGGUGAAAUUCGUAGAUAUUCGUAAGAACACCAGUGGCGAAGGCGGCUCACUGGCCCGAUACUGACGCUGAGGCACGAAAGCGUGGGGAGCAAACAGG
rnacentral:rRNA from 1 species